ensembl:lncRNA
GGAUCCCAAUGGGGAAGGAUCCCAAUGUGGGUCCCAACGUGGAUCCCAAUGGGAGGGAUCCCAAUGGGGAGAGAUCCCAAUGUGGGUCCCAAUUGAGAUCCCAAUGGGGAGGGAUCCCAAUGUGGGUCCCAACAUGGGUCCCAACAUGGAGAGAUCCCAAUGGGGAGAGAUCCCAAUGGGGAGGGAUCCCAAUGUGGGUCCCAAUGUGAAGAGAGCCCAAUGGGGAGGGAUCCCAAUGUGGGUCCCAAUGUGGAGAGACCCCAAUGGGGAGAGAUCCCAAUGUGGGUCCCAAUGUGGGUUCCAACGUGGAGAGAUCCCAAUGUGGAGAGAUCCCAAUGGGGAGGGAUCCCAAUGUGGGUCCCAACAUGGAUCCCGGGGCAUUUCCCAGCAUGGAUCCCAUACAGAUCCCAAUACAGAUCCCGGGGGCAUUUCCCGGCAUGGAUCCCAUACAGAUCCCAAUACGGAUCCCAAUAUGGAUCCUGGGGCAUUUCUUAGCAUGGAUCCCAAUACGGAUCCCAAUAGAUGAAUCUCAAAGCGCUGCCCAACGCUGAUGUGGAACCCAACAUUGAUCCCAACACAGAUCCCGAUGUGUGGCCCUAUGGAGAAUGGAGUGUGGAUCCCAACGUGGAUCCCAAUGCGUGGCUCAAUGAAGAACCCAACCUGGAACCCCAUGGAGAUCCCAAUUGGUGGCCCAUCCUGGAACCCGAUGUGGAACCCGAUGUGGAUCCCAAAUCACGGCCCAACCCGGAACCCGAUGUGGAUCCCAACACCGAUCCCAAUUCAUGGCCCAACAUGGAACCCAAUGGAGAUCCCAAAUCAUGGCCUAUCCCAGAACCCAACCUGGAACCCAACGUGGAUCCCAAUUCAAGGUCCAUCAUGGAACCCAUCCCAGAACCCAACCUGGACCCCAACCUGGACCCCAACUCACGACCCAACCCGGACCCCAACCUGGACCCAACUCACGACCCAACCCGGACCCCAACCUGGACCCCAAUUCAUGGUCCAUCCCGGACCCCAAUGUGGAACCCAUCCUGGACCCCAACUUGGACCCCAAUUCAUGGCGCAUCCCAGAACCCAACCUGGACCCCAACUCACGACCCAACCUGGACCCCAACCUGAACCCCAACUCACGACCCAAUCUGGAUCCCAAUUCAUGGGCCAUCCCGGACCCCAUCCUGGACCCCAACCGGGAACCCAUCCCAGACCCCAUCCUGGACCCCAACCUGGAAGACAUCCCGGACCCCAUCGUGGACCCCAUCUGGGACCCCAUCCUGGACCCCAACCUGGAAGACAUCCCGACCCC